CGUUUUAUUGCCUCGGCCACCAGAACGCCAUUAAAGUCCAACAAGUACAACAAGACCUUUGACUAGAACACUGAGAGUUAACGUUAGUGUUGCAAUGGAGACGCCUUUGCCGAUUUCCUCAAUGUCGAAUGGCAAUAGCAUUGCCUUACAAAGGGACGAUGAGUAUCGGGAACGCAUGCUGAGGAUACGAAGGUUAA
rnacentral:sRNA from 1 species